GAGCUCCUCCGUGGCCACUGUGGUUAUCAAGAGGUUCCAGGAGGGACAGACAGUGGGAAGUCUUGAUUCUAAACCACAUGGGUUCUGCUCUGAGCACGGCGUGACCUUUGAGACAGCCAUCAUAGACUCGUUUGAGGUGGCGUUCGGCGGG